rnacentral:tRNA from 2 species
GCAGAUGUGGCGGAAUUGGUAUACGCGCAUGAUUCAGGUUCAUGUCCACAUUACGUGGGUUCGGGUUCGAGUCCCGUCAUCUGCA